rnacentral:misc_RNA from 1 species
UUUAUCUUCAAUUAUUAUUUUUUUAAAAUUCUUUUUAGUAUAUAUUAUCUUCAAUCAAUUUGAGUGAAGAUAAAUAGAAGGUUUUCUGUUCGAUUUAUAUUAUAUUAAAAAAAGAGAGGGAAAUCGAAUAUUGCACUGUGAAAUUAAAAAAAAAAAUUGUAUAGAUGCAGAUAAUUAGGAUUGCAAUUACAUGUCAGGAUUUGCUAGCUCCAUUGAAAAUCACUAAAAAUAAGUAUAUCAGAGGUGAACCAGCAGCAGCAGAAACCCCAAGACAAUACUCGAAAACUCCAAAAGAAUUAAAACAAACAUCCUUAAGAAAGCCAGCUAAACACUGCCACUUCCAGAAAGUGACUUGUAACCUGAUCGUUUAUUUUUCGUUCUCCUUAAAAAAUCUUAGCUUUUGCCUUCUGAAUCUCCCUCUUAUUUCUUUUCCUUGCGCUAUUUUUCUGCCUUUACGUUUUGCUCUCUGUGUUUUCGUUUCAUCUGGGCUGAUGAUUGUUAAUAUCCGAGGUGCGUCUACUCCUUUCUCUCUCUCUGUCAUCCAUUGUGCUGUUUGAUGGGGAAAAUGUGAACGUAGAAGUUUUGAAUUCUCAACUUUUUGAUCCCUUUGGAAUGAUCAUUUAAUGAGUACUGAGUUUCGGUACUUGAGUUGAUCACGCAGACCAAGCCCAUUACAUGCCAUGUUGCGGGAGUUUUAAAAUGUGAUGUGUUAUGACUUGCUCUUUUGAAGUGAAGUUUGUUAUUUUGUUUGUAAUCAAUGUCAUGUUAUUUGUUUUGGCAAGACAUUUUUUUUUAAUGCUUCAGAGUACAUGAUUAGUUGAUUACUGUGCUUUCGCUGAUGUAAAGAUUUUGUUUUUCCGAAACCAAAAUCAUUCAAAAUUGUAUAAUUUUUAUAGUAUUGAUUUUCUCUUAAUCUUCCAUAGAAAUAUAGAACGUCCCUCUAUACCUGCUGCCCUUAGUUAGUUUGAUUAGUGAAAUACUUUAGCUCUGUUUGGAAAAUGGAAAAACCUCUUUCAGAUUCUCUCAACCACAAAAUGAAGGUUUUUCCAAACGCCUCCUACCAAACUUAGGCUCAAGUAUGAAUAACACGCUGCAUUCGUGUGCCGUAUUGAGGAGUAUAUAAGCAUGUGUACAGAUAGAGUUGGUUAGCUAGCCUAUCUCAUCUAUUAGUUACUGAUAAUAUGAUAUACAUCUAGGUUACAUAGCAUAACCCUUAUCAGUUUGCAUGCAUAUGAUCUUUCUAUUUUGGGUUUGGGUGUGGGUUUGGUGGAUACCAGUAGACGUCCACAAUGAAAAAUUGCAAGAUAAGACUUGUUUCCACCCGGCAAACCUAUCUGGGAACUUGUUGAAGCCUUUGUGUUUGUGUUUUCAUAGUCUGAGAAGAAGUGAAAAACAUGCAAUAUUUUCUCAAAUUCAGAAAGAUGUAUUUGUGAAUCGUGUCCCUUAGCGGCUUUUUCUAGACUUUGGAAGUUGUCCUUUUCAACCCCAGAUGCAUGAGGUUCUAGUCUUUCUGCACUUGUAGUUGUGUUUUGAGAAAUGGCCAGAAUCAUUUGCGGUUGAAUGGUUGUGAUUCUGGGUUUUCAGCUCAGCUCAGUGAAGAUUUAGGUCCCAACUAUUUGAAGCUGGCUACAGAUCCUUCAUUCGUAUUAUGUUUCUGGGUGUAUGUCUUCCUGCCAUUUCAAAUCUUCUUCUUCUUUCUAUUUUCUUUUCUUUAUUCGAAUCUUUUCUCUUGUCAAUGCAGCGCCAUCAAUUUGAGCAAAUGACUUUGAAGUUUUGGUGCAAUCCUUGAGAUAGGCUAAAUAGAUCCAAGCAAAGUGACAAUACAUACUUAAAUGGAUAUACAUUUUUUUUUAAAUAUGCAUUUUAACAUUAUAAAGUUGCAGGGGAGCCACUAUAUUGAAAUCUUGUUUUCCAUAAAGAAUGGAAACCAAAUUUAUUCCCUUCAAUGGUAUGCCUAUAAUUGUUGCAGUUCAAUUGUCCAAGUGUGUUUCGAAUUUCUAUCAAUAUUAGGGUUAGUAAGAACAAUUGUAAAUGAAAAAAGCAUUGUUGAAAUGAGCUUUGAUUUAUUUUGUUUGUUUUGCAUUUUGGGAUGAAGACAUGUCUUGUGGUGCCUAUUUGUUAAUUUGCUCAGCAAGAACCAAUGGCAUGUUGUAGUGCUUCUGGAAUAUUUCAAAGUUAAAUGCAAAGAAAGUUGCACCGGAGUCGGAAAACAAUGGCAUGAUACCUGAUUGACAAGACCCAGUUUUAUUUAUUUAUUCAUGAUGAACUCUCUUGAACAGUUGUUUUAUAUGCUUGCACAAAUUUUUGGUUAUCUAAUCAUUCAGGGGCUGGCUAUGUCAGUUGCACCAGCUGAGGGUAUGGCAUCAUUAAACAGUGAUAUCUUCUAUGACAUAUUGAGGCGUCUUGAUGGCCCAACAUUGGCAAGUGCAGCAUGUGCAUGUGUUGCAUUCUGCUCCAUCUCAAAAGAGGAAAAGUUAUGGGAAAAUGUGUGUUCUUCUAUGUGGCCUUCAACAAAUAGGGUCGAUGUCAAAAAUCUAAUAACAUCAAUUGGUGGAUUCAGAAAGUUUUAUGCAGACUGUUUACCACUUAUUGUUAACAAGGAAGUUUUAGAAUAUCAAUGGAAUGACUAUCCGGAGUACCCUGAAGAAUGGACUGAGGCUGAAUACUAUGGUGACAUAGAUGAAUUUGAGAGUAUUUCACCAUCAGAUUUUGUCUCUAUUGUUGAUAUCAGGUACAAAGAUAAAACAAUCUGUUCAAAGGUCCUGUGGGGCAUUCCUAAUGCCAAUGGAUUCAAUGGUUGGUUUUACAACUGCCCAUUUCGGAUUGAUCUUCUUACAUAUGCAGCCAGGGCUGACGACAAUGAAGGUGAAGUCUUGCUUUCAGUUUCAGAUGGUCUGCCGCCAAUUUUAUCCAUGGAGAAAGAAAGAAAGGAUGGAAAGCUGUGGAGGGAGCUUCGUGAUGGACUUCGACUUAGUUGGAUUGUUGUAAAUAAAAAAAUUAAGCAAGCUGCUAAUCUUGCUAGCUGGAGUCCUCUUGGUGGGCAAAGGCAUUGGCCAACAGACAAGGAUUUUGUAAUACACUUUGGGUCUGUUCUUUCUGCAAAAGAGAUUCUUCCAUGUCAGGUAGUAGAAUGCAUCCUCAUUAUGAAGUUUAGAGUAAUUCACACAGAAGGAGAGGGUGUCCAGACAACUCUGAAGUUAACAGAGCUGAGCAUGCAGUUGGAAGACAUGGAAGGCGCUCAUGUCAAUGGAAGAAACAGUUUGCUGAUUCUCAAGGAAGCAUUGAGCUGCUGUAGGAGCAAAAACUAUAGUGAAGUUCUCGAGUCUUGUCACUUGUACUCAAAAGUGCAAAGUGAGUUAAAAGAGGAGAAGAUGAGGAAUGAAAGCAGGAUAGAUAGACUUUGUAUCAUAAGUGGGAUUGCUGCUUUCCUCACAUUAUGGUACUACAUUUUGUGAAAUACAGAUGCUGCUUUUAUUUGAACACUAAUUAACUGAAAAUGCUCUAACAGACUAAGUAUGUACCUAUCUGAUGUAAAAUUCAAUUUUGUGGUAGCUAAUAAGAGUUACUGAUCUUUUUUCCCAAGAUAUCUGAGGACAAAAUCUUCUUAUUAUACAGUAACUAACAAUGACAGUUCUGGAAGCAGCAUAGGUCAUCUGGGCCUGUAUCAUCCUUGGUAAACUUCUAAGGUAUGUUCUGCAAUUUUAUGUUGUUCUGUGUCUGGAUAGAUUUGUAAUUUUGUUUGUUUGUUCAUCUGCUCAGUCCAGUGUGUUGCUUCUGAGAGAGGGCAUUUGAAAAAUUUUUGUUUUAUCGCUUGUCACAAGGGUCUGGUGAAUUAUCUUAUUGCUUUUUGGAACCAACCGUUAGCCUUAUCUAGUUGAUGCUUCUUGAUGAGGAGUGAAUAUCUUUUGUUAUGGCAUGGCAGGAUGUAAAAUGUGAAUUGCUUUUUCAUACAGUCUUUGAUAUAGGCCUGGCUGCUGGUUCGGUCUAAGCAGAUUCAUCAGGACUUGACAGCAGGGUCCCCUGGUCCUGCUUCAAUCCGGUUCUGAUAUUGUGAUUUGGUUUGUUCAAUUCAGAACUGCAAAAUAAUUACUAAUCAAAUGCUGUUAUGUUUCAGGGAAAAGUCCAUCUUAUAACGUGACAUGGGUCGGGUCGGGUCAGAUGGAAAAUUGCAUAAGCUGGUAGUAUCACGACAUCAUCAUUUUCCACUCUGGGCUGCCGAAGGAGCCAAAUCCAGAAGACUAAAAGGAGUGAGAAGCAAUCAUGGCUCUCCUAAGAAAUGGAAGCUUGGCCUUUCAGAGCGGGACCCGCACCACCUUUGGAGUAUCCAAAUUGCUUGACAAAGGCCAUAAUUUCUCGUGGGUUUGUAAUACUAUAUUUUAACUGAAAAAUUAUUAUUAAUUUUUUCUUUUUUAUAGGAGGUUGAAGAGUUGAACCUAUUAAUCGAUCAAAUAAAAUCAGAUUGAG